ensembl:lncRNA
GUAGGUUCCAGUUUGCCUACCCCUCCCCCAGCAGAGAGCCCAAUUCCUCUUUCCUGUCCUUCCUACCCUCACUUAACUCCAAACCUGGCUUGCCACUCACCGGGUAGAGAAGGGCUCCAGGACUCAGGUCCAGAGAAGGCAGCACUCUGGGGAGCAGAUGGGUAGGAAGACAGGUGGCUGUUGGGGCACAGCCCCUCUGGGGCACUGGGGUCACCCGCCUGCCCAGGCCAAUUCUGCCCAAUCAGAGAGCAGGGAGCCACUAGACACAAGCAAUGGCCCCGGAAGUGACGCUUUCUCCUCCCACCUGCGUAGGACUUGGAGCCCCUGCCUGGACCAUGGUUCACUAAUGGAGCCCAGCUUUCCCACUCACGCAUACCACACGGAGGAUUUGAAUAGGGGGAUCUGUCUCUUCCUAGGAGCUGGGAAAUCUGGGAGCCGGCUGGGGGAGAAGACGGGAGGGAAACAGUUUUUUUCCUAGGAGGAAUCUGGCAGGACAUUUUCACCCCUCAGGAAGAGGCUCUCUCCUGUUCCUCCUCCCAAGGAUGGGGCUCUCUGCUAAGGAGUAUGGCCUAGAUCCCGGAAUUCUCCAGUUCAGCCAGACCAGAUGCCUCCCAAGAUUAAGAAGGAGGGUGCUGGGAUGGUUGGGAGGAUGGUGGGAAUGUGGGGGUGGGAAUGUGGGGGUGGGAGGUGGCAGGGAGGCUGUCGUGGCAGGGAGGCUGUCAUGCUUGGGAAAGCAAGACAAAAGAGGUUUGUGGGUAGGGUGGAGAGGCAGAGGGUCCCCCAGGUGAAGGAAGAGGGUGGGGAAGUGUGUCAGGCUGGGGAGGAGGAUGGUUGGAUGGGCCUGAGCACAGGUAAUAGUAGGGAGAGAAACGCUGUCAGCAGACAGAAAGGGAGACAGUCUGUUUCUGGCUAAGUUCCUAUCCCAGGGACAGAGGAAAGAGGAGAGAUCUCAUAGGGGAAGUAGGGACACAGGCUGGGCAAUGAGAGUGGUGUGGGGUUUGAGAGGUGCGGUGGGCCCAGAGACAAGCGAAGAUGAGUUGAUGGGCCCGUCCUGCUCGUUGUCAUCCUUAAAGACAAUUCUUCAUCCUUCCGGCAGGAACUCAGUCUGAACGCAGUGGCCGGCCCAGGCCUCAGGCCGUCUCUGCCCCUCCGUGGCCUGGGGCUCCCAUCCCGGGCCGGACACGCACCUCCUGGUCCAGUUGCCCUGUGGACGCCGGCAGCGGGUGGGUGGGUGGGGGGUGCUCCAGAUCCGCCUCUCCUCCCCGCUUUGCGCCCCCUGGUCCCUCCCCUCCCCCUAUCCCCUCCGCUCCCCCUUCCCCUACAGCCCCUCCCUCCUCCCCUGCCCGGUUCCAGCCCCUCCCUCCCCUCCCC